CUGAGGAAUGUGAAAAAUAAAAAAAAUACAUAUUUUUCAAAAAACAGAUUUUGAUCACUCUCUCAAGUCUCUUUUCCAGAAGAUCUAAAAGACGUAUGAUAUAAAUUAACAUUAAAGUAAAAGUACUUCUUUUCCAUUCUUCUAUGCUGAUCAAAUAUUUAAAAUAUGCUACUUACAUUGGGAACAUGGUGGGAAGACCCGAGGCUGAAAAAAGUGGUUUAUUAAAUUGUCGGAUGUCCCAUAAUUUUAAUGAAUCGUCACCUGACAGAGGAAUGAGGGGAAAAAAAAGACAGAAAAGUGAAUUGUGCAAAAAGAACUCGCUCCCAGUUUAGAGUCUGCUAAACUUAAUGUAUAACUGUAAAGAAGAAAGGGAAGGGGAAGGGGAGAAAGAGAGAAGAAAGAAAGGAAGAAAGAAGCUAGAUUCACACAAGCAUGUUUUACUUUUUUAACCGUUCAGAGAGCUUAAAAAGCGGUAGUCGCAAGAGCAGUUGAAAGCUAUUUGAUAAUGAAUUGGGCUUCUGGAAAUUACUUUCCAGAUAGAUGUAGCAUCUGCAAGCUAGAAGGAACCCUGGAGAAUCUACUCUGAAGUAUGAUAUUAGAGCAGAUGGUAGUUCCCCCGUGGUGUAUUUGAGCAUACGUUACUUCUUGAGAAGAGUUUAAUUUAACAACUAUCAGGACUGAAAACAGUUCAAUCCACAACAGAUUCCUUUUCCCACUGGUGUAUGGGUAAAGCUAUCCAUUAACAUUAAUAAGGGUGAGCCAUGUGAUUCCCUUCUCUCCAGUGUAAUUCUACCUACAGCUAUCAUUCUUCACUUUGCUGGGGAGUACAGCUUUGCCAAGCUAUUUAAAGAAUAAUGAGUAUUUUUAAGGAAUCACUUUUUGUGUUCGCUUUGGCAGCACAUAUGCUAAGACUGGAACGAUACAGAGAAGAUUAGCAUAGCCCCUGCACAAGCAUGACAUGCAAAUUUGUGAAGUAUUCCAUAUGUAUCUUAAAAAUAAAUUUUUAAAAAUCCCUUUUUAAUAUUUCUAUAGGACGAAUUCCUGAACAGAAAAGCCAAACUUAUAUACAUAAUGUUUUCGCUGUUCUUUCUCCCCAGUGCCCACAGCUGAGACCUGCCUCAACCCCUUGGGUCCAAUAAGGAAUGAGAAUCAGGUGCAAGUGAGGAGAGUAAAGAGUUCAGUAAAAAUCCCCAUUUUUACAGCGAAGCUUCCUCUGAAACCCAACUUUUGGCAGGUGCACUAAUCCACAAUUGGCUGGACUCAGGACCUGCUUGUACUGGGAGAACUUUGUAAGGCUCACCUUUGGAAUGUUACUUUAUUGCUUUUAGUCUGUUUUUUUUUUUGUUUUUGUUUUUGUUUUUUGUUUUUUUUUGAGACAGAGUCUUGCUCUGUCACUCAGGCUGGAGUGCAGUGGCAUGAUCUCAGCUCACUGUAACCUCAGCCUCCAGGUUCAAGUGAUUCUCCUGCCUCAGCCUCCCGAGUAGCUGGGACUACAGACAUGCGCCACUACAUCCAGCUAAUUUUUGUAUUUUUCGUAGAGACAGGGUUUCAUCAUGUUUUCCAGGCUGGUCUCAAACUCCUGGCCUCAAGUGAUCCACCUGCCUCGGCCUCCCAAAGUGCUGGGAUUACAGGUGUGGGCCACUGCACCUGGCCUGCUUUUAGUCUUUAAAAAAAGGUUACAUAUCUCCACAAUCUUCAAACAAUAAGAAAACAUUAACCUGUAUUAAUUCCAUCUAAUCCAGCGGGUUAUGCAGCUAGCAGAAGCACCUUGUAACACCCUGAGGAUUCUUUGCUGAAUAGACUUCCAUCUGCCAUAUUGUAUACAUCCAGGAAGGAAAACGAUGGAAUACAGCAUACAUGUGGUAUUGACCAAUUAAGUUAUCCAAAAGCUAGUGUGUGUGUGUGUGUGUGUGUGUAUAUAUAUAUACACACAUACAUAUAUAUACACACACACACACUGUGUGUGUGUGUGUGUGUGUGUGUGUGUAUGAUGGAAAGGAAAGUAAGAAUUAUCACCAAAAUGGCUUUGACUGAAAUAGACUUAGUUUUAUACUUCUAAGGGAGCAAAUAUCAACUGGGUAAUUACUCAGUUGAGUAAUUUUGGGCUCACCUAUUUUAUCACCUGUGAAGAAUUUUCAAGCUACACUCUCCCUUUUUCCCCUCUUCUCCCCUAACUCCACCUCAGAGACUUGGAUAUACCAUCCCAAAGAUGCAAGAGUGGAUGUAAGAAUUCCUAAGUGGAGCAAUUAUCAUUUGAAAACUUUCCCAGGGGAUUCAGAUACACUACUGGGAUGAGAACCAUUGUUUUAAAUAAAGAAUAUAUAGAAUUUUAAUUGGGAAUCAUCUCUGAACUCAAGUAGCAGGUUAGAAUUGAUGGACCAAAAUACAUAUUUUAUACAUAUCCACAUUUGCCAUGUGUAUCAUAAAUAGAGAAUUACAUGUACAUGUGCUUUGAUUUUUUAAAGUUAUACAAAUGAGAGUAGUUUAGAUACAACAGUAAAGUUUCCUUAAAGAGAAUCUGAAUGAGUUCCCCAGGGUAAAAGGACAGGGACUAGUUAAAUUGAGGGGAAAGCUGUGCCACAUCUCUUGCCUCUCUCUUCAUUUCCACUAUCCUAUACACUGGGUUGUAAAGUCUUUCAGGAAAAGGAUUCUGUCUAUGAUGUUUAAGGUUUACACCCAGCACCUAGCAUAAUGUUAGCUCAUAGUAGAUGCUCAAUAUACAGUAGUCGAGUGACUGAAUGAAUAGCUAAAUAUAGCACUGUUAGAUUCACCUGCCUAAAGGCCCUCUGUAGCAUAGUUCCCAUCUACUUAACCAUGCUAUUAGUAUUUCUUUUCCUUAUGUGAUAUUUAAGACCCUCUGUAACAUGGCUCCAAACUACUUACCAUGCUAUUUCUUUUCUCUCCCCACAAAUAGGUCUGUAGGAAAAUCUUCAGCUAUGUCCCAUACUCUCCCAUAAUGCUGCCUUCACUAUUCUCCAUCUCCUUCUACCAAUACACAACCUAUCUAUGUGAUAAAGAUUUAGCA
rnacentral:lncRNA from 10 species